rnacentral:rRNA from 1 species
UGGGGAAUAUUGGACAAUGGGCGAAAGCCUGAUCCAGCCAUGCCGCGUGUGUGAAGAAGGUCUUCGGAUUGUAAAGCACUUUAAGUUGGGAGGAAGGGCAUUAACCUAAUACGUUAGUGUUUUGACGUUACCGACAGAAUAAGCACCGGCUAACUCUGUGCCAGCAGCCGCGGUAAUACAGAGGGUGCAAGCGUUAAUCGGAAUUACUGGGCGUAAAGCGCGCGUAGGUGGUUUGUUAAGUUGGAUGUGAAAUCCCCGAGCUCAACCUGGGAACUGCAUUCAAAACUGACUGACUAGAGUAUGGUAGAGGGUGGUGGAAUUUCCUGUGUAGCGGGGAAAUGCGUAGAUAUAGGAAGGAACCCCAGUGGCGAAGGCGACCACCUGGACUAAUACUGACCCUGAGGUGCGAAAGCGUGGGGAGCAAACA